GGGGAGGGGGACCAAGAGAAGAAUUGGUGUCUUUCCUACCGCCUCCCAACUAGUAGGGGUCCUAUCCAAUAGGAGCAAUCAAUCUUCCACAACGGCAUCCAUCCCUGAUACCAGUCUUGCCUUCCAAAAGCUGGACCUCACCUUGACCUAUGAGAAACAGGAUACCGAAGUGGCUAGUAAGGACUUCCUUUGUAUUUGGCACAAUAAGAUGGUCCAAGCUCAUUUGCUCCUUUCCUUGACGCUGAUCUGGAUAAGCUACGUCUCCAAGAAGGCUUGGUGCUUUUAGUGGAGAAUCGUAUGUAGAAAUCAGGGUCUGGAUGUGAGGCAAUUUCCCAGCUGAUGAAGCUCCCUACCCCCCAACGCUGAUACUCCAUCCUUGCACAGCCACCAUUACUGGACCUACCUGAUGUCAAGGAAAGAAAGAAGGGAGAGAAAGAGGAAAAGAGCAUUAACAGAAUUGUCUGAAUUUGGUCAUGGUUUCAAUGGAUGCUUAUAUUACUUAAAAUAUUCCUAAAAUCACAAUUAGG